GCGUCGGUAGGGCAACGGUUCAACACGCGUUCCUGGAAAGAGUGGAUCUGGGUGCGAAUCCCGGCUGACGCA